UACGUAGGGUCCGAGCGUUGUCCGGAAUUAUUGGGCGUAAAGGGCUCGUAGGCGGUUUGUCACGUCGGGAGUGAAAAACUCAGGGCUCAACCCUGAGCGUGCUUCCGAUACGGGCAGACUAGAGGUAUGCAGGGGGAGAACGGAAUUCCUGGUGUAGCGGUGAAAUGCGUAGAUAUCGGGAGGAACACCAGUGGCGAAGGCGACUACCUGGCCUGUUCUUGACGCUGAGGCGCGAAAGCUAGGGGAGCAAACGGGG
rnacentral:rRNA from 1 species